rnacentral:rRNA from 1 species
UACGUAGGGAGCAAGCGUUGUUCGGAAUUACUGGGCGUAAAGGGCGCGUAGGCGGCCGCCUAAGUCAGACGUGAAAUCCCUACGGCUCAACCGGGGAACUGCGUCUGAUACUGGGUGGCUUGAAUCCGGGAGAGGGAUGCGGAAUUCCAGGUGAGCGGUGAAAUGCGUAGGAGUAAUCUGGAGGAACACCGGUGGCGAAG